rnacentral:rRNA from 1 species
UGGUCGCUAUCUUUUUGGCACGUCGGCGUGCAUGCUCGCUGCUCAGAAAUGAGGAUUACCUCGUCGUCUAGCCAGAGGCGGCGGUUGGUCUGGAAGCGUGCGGGCUAGGUCGGGAUGCGGGGGAGGCGCCGGCUAGGUAGGGAUACAGCGCCGGCUAGGUACGGGAUACGGCGGCGGCUACGGAGGAGGAGGUGGAGGUAAAGGUUCGCUGCCGCGAGCGCCGGCACCAGAAGAGGGGGUCGGUGGUACCGACGUCUAGGUGAGUGCCGGCCAACAGAUUCGACGUUCGUACCUACCUACCUAGGUCCUUCCAUAGGAAGGAGGGACCCACCCCGCUCGAUGUGUAGGGUAAGCCGGGAGACAUCGGCCGGUAGAGGCGGAGGAGGAGCGGCAACGGCGACGGCCCCUAGCGCAGAAGUGGUUCGCGCUCGAGGCGGGGUAGGCUGGCUGGCGUUUCCCCAACAGGUAACAUUUAAAAGUUCCUCUAAGUUUACAAGGAGAAGACCUACUAACUUCCCAAUGAACUUCGAUCCCGUUAGGUUCAUUCUAUCGAAGUAGGAGUCCGUUGUCCAAAUACAAUAGAAUAGUACCUCAGUAAAAAUUCAAACACGGGUUGCGGAAGUAGGAAUCUUACCGACGGGUCUACCGUUCGGUGGCAUGAAUCCGUUGACGGCGCGAUCGUCCCACGAGGUUGAAAACUACGACCGCUUCGAAAACCUUACUACCGAUGUAUUAAACAAUCAGAGGCAACCUUCGAAUUAAUUUGACUCUAAGUCUACACACCGUUUCCUAAAGUUAAAAGGAUAAAUGUGUUUCCUUUGAACUCCUUCCAAGUCUAAAGAGUACGAGCCACAACACGAGAGUUCCAAUGUAUCUGUUCUUACGGAGGAUAAAUGUGUUGCCGUUGGGCUGCUUCCUACUGCCCCGCCCAGCCCUCCGCCCCUUUCGGCAGGUACCGCUAGGACCACCGCAACGAUUACCGCAAUCACCGUGACGGCGAGGAGUACCACGGGCUGUGCGAGAGAUACGGUCCGAGGUUGCCGCACCUAGCGCCGCGGCGGGACAGCGAGGGUGCGGGCACGAAGUCGUCUAGGCACAAACUCAACACGUAUGGAAAUCGGCGGAGGGGAGGUUACAGGUGCUGAGACUAUAUGGCACAAACAAUCAGAACUGACCACAAACAAGAGGCAUAACAACACGUCCUCCGACCUCUUGUAGUCCCUCUUUUCCCUCAGCACCUACCUCUGAACAGGAUGUACCGGCUCGCUCUAGCUCCGAUCGGCGGCCAUUACAAGAAGAGGGCACGUUCAAGGCGUGACGUAACUUCGUAGGUUGUGUACUACAUCGAUGCAAUGUCCACCCUAUAGUCGGUUCAUACAAAGCUCCACUCUGUAGGUAGUUCAAACAAACCUCUUUAACACGUCAGGUCGAGGACGCACGACCAGUGGCUCGAGGUGACACAGGUCGAGUAGGCUGGUACACGAGGUGACGUAGAUCCAGUUGGCUAGAACACCGUCUCGAUGUGACUGCGUUCUCGUUUAUCAAAAUGUUAAAGAAACAACAAGGAAACAUGACCUAUUGACACGUAAAAAUCUCCACACUUCUACAUUACGUUAUUGUCAUUGACCUGCAUCCGUGUAGGCAGAGCUAUUCGUAAUACCCUUGCCUGUUUCCGUUCCGUAAGGUUACAUUCUUUACCUACUUCCGUUCCAUACAGUAAGAUUUUUUUCCGUUCCGUAUGGUCCUACGACGUAACGAAUUACAGGUCAAGAGAUGCGAAAGGGAUAUCGUUGGAAAAAAUCUAGAAUACGCAACACAAAAGGAUUGUUUUUUUACAGGUAUACCUAAGUGAUUUUGUUCUAAUAUAAUAGUCGUUAAAACAAACGUACAUUAAUUAAUCACUAUCGGAUACGGAGUGUGCUGAUAAAAAAGGUCAAGUCAACAUAGGAAGUUAUACCCACGUUACUUCACACCUAUCUGUUUGUGUAAAGAAAAUGACACUAUAGUAACUGGAACAACUAAAUAUAAAAAGUUUUGACUAUCCUUACUUUAGGUAUACUUAGAACACUACGGUUUCGAGAUUCACGACUACUAAAUUUAAGGAUAAUUUUUUAGGAAUUUAUCUUUCACCUGGAAUAUCGCCUCUUAUUACACAUUCGAUGUCCACCUCAGGCAGAGUUCACUUCACUUUG